ACCAGCUCUGAGAAAAGUGAUCAGUUUAACGAAAUUUUUUGUAAACUGUUCAAUUUUCUCAGAGCUGGCCAAUCUGCUGCAGCCAAAUUUAUUUUUUAUUGAACGCUAAUACAUUCGUGGUGGUAAUUGCGGUUUUAUAUUUUUGAAAAAGUAUUCUUGUGGAAAGACAUCAUCAAAAGUAGACUAAAAUCCACUUUUUAAAAAACGCCCAAUUGUAUGCUUUUCAGCAAAGCACCGAUGUCUCUCAAGAGAUUUCGUAAAAU